rnacentral:lncRNA from 1 species
UUAGUUAGCAAUUUGUCUAACCUUUUUUCAAGUUCUUAGCUUCCUUGCAUUGGGUUAGAACAUGUUCCCUUAGCUUGGAGGAGUUUGUUAUUACCCCCUUCUGAAGAAUACUUCUGUCAAUUUGUCAAAUCCUCUGGAAGCUUCAUUUCAGAGGGGCACCUGCCAGAUGCCAGCCCGAGCUCUCCUGUAUGACGUGUCUGUUGACCCCUGCUGGGAGGUGUCUCCGGGUCGGGAGGCACGGGGGUCGGGGACCCAUUUGAGGAGGCAGUCUGUCCCUUAGCAGAGCUCCAGUUCUGUGCUGGGAGAUCCACUGCUCUCUUUAGAGCCAGCAGGCAGGAAUGUUUAAGUCUGCUGAAGCUGCACCCACAGUCACCCCUUCCCCCACGUGCUCUGUCCCAGGGAGAUGGGAGUUUUAUCUAUAAGCCCCUUAAUGGGGCUGCUGCCUUUCUUUCAGAGAUACCCUGCCCAGGGAGGAGGAAUCUAGAAAGGCAUUCUGGCUACAGCAGCUUUGUGGUGCUGC